ensembl:processed_transcript RIKEN cDNA 2610307P16 gene
AUUUCCCCCGGGCGUGAGAGCGCGGACUGGAGGCUGGGUGUUCAAAGGGUGUGUGAGAAGGGACUAAGACCCGCAUCUUAUGGGCAGAGUUUUCGGGGAGAUGGAAGGAGAGAGGGUCGGGACUGAGUUACUGGUCUUGGGGACAGAGCAGCCGGAGCUGCGCACCAAGGCUCAGAGUCGGGCGGGAGAUGCGGGGAGAGGGAGGGGGCGGGGAGGGAGGGGAGGGAGAGAGGAGGAAGGGGUGAGAGGGAGAAACCUGCCGCGGCUCUCCGCCUCUUUGUCUGCUCUGGGACUUGGAACAAAAGGGGGAACUCUGAUGAACUCCUUCUCCCGCUCCCUGGACGCCCGAGUAUCUCUUUCUCGCAACUUUGUCAACGCGACUUUCUCCGCUGUCAGGCUGCGCAAAAGUGUCCUAGCGCCUCGCAGGCUGCAACAAUGGAAACAAUGUCCCUUCAAAGUGCGACGAAGUGGAGAGAGAAGGUGUUAUACCAGCGACUCCAAGAGUCAUGUCACCCACUUAGCAGGAGUACUUCUACUGAAAUGCCUUCGCCUUACUCUUAUUGGAUCUAUACCUAUCAGCCGUUAGCAUGGAGACGCCAGGACUGCUGCAAGUUAUCACUGGACAAAAUAUCAUCAACUUCUUCAUUUAAAUUGAGUUUCUUCAGUUAAAUUGCUGGGAUUUUUUGACAAGGCUUUCCUUAUGUGGAUUAUUGGAGUGUGAUGCCCGGGAAUUCUCUACUUGUAGAAGCACCCCCACGUGACUGCAGAAGCCUUCACACCCAGCACGCUCAGGGUUGAUGGCCUAACACUGGCUUAACACUCAUGUCGGUUGCACUAAUGAAGUCACAUCCAAGUGACUGAACAUAUCUGGUAUAGAAGGUCCCAAAUCCUGACUUUUUUUUUCUCCAUGGUUUGUUGUUUAAAGCUUGCCUCCCACAUCGCUGAGCACGCUUAUUUGGGAAGAUGCGUUCUUAUGGUUAAAUAGCACCCAUGUAGAUGGGAAUGAGUGAUGGCCUUCCAGUGACCAGCUGGGACUGACUGCCUUACAAGACGCAUGUGUAUGAUUAAGAGAGAGACAUGCGUGACUCCCAGAUGUACCUCCUUCCUGUCCCACAGAGUUCCUGAAGGGAGUGAGUUAUGGGGUAACUUAUAACACGGCAGGCUCUUCCUCAAGAUAGCCCUUGUGAAAACAGGAAGACGAAACUCGGGUUUCGACGAGAAGACCACAGCUUGGGAUCCCGUCUGGAUGUACAAGCAGAAACAUCUUCAUACUUUUCCAUUUCUAACCGUCACGCCCCACCCAACCCUCCCAAAGAGACAUCUGCUGAGAGUGGAUCUGUCGGUGUUAAGCAGCUGAAGCAGAAGAAGAAGGAAGAGGAGGAGGAGGAGGAGGAGGAAGAAGAAGAAGAAGAAGAAGAAGAAGAACAACAACAACAACAACAACAACAACAACAAGCUUGGUGGUGAAACAUGGAAGCCCUCUCCGGGAUGCAGCAGGUAGCUGAGGAGAAAACGAAGAAUGAACAGCCCAGAGCUCAGAGCUUCCUCCCAUGCUCAGGAAUUACCACCAGUGCCAUUACAUCGGCCUCUUCUUGUAUGUCUCUGGAGACCACAUGUGUCCUCUCUUUGUAAUGGUUUGGCUAUGGUUGCUGGCCCUUCUUGGACAUUGCUUUCAGAACUUAAAGAAACAUUGCUUUAAAGGUUUAUUAGAACAUACUUAAAAUAAAAUCAUCUUCUUCUCAUUUAGUAU